GUUUGACGAGCGACCUGCAUACCAGUAAAUCCUCCCAAUCCCUGAAGAAACCCGCAUCCGUUUCAGGUGCAGCCUGAUGGGUCAUGUUAAUGCACCAGAAGUCCGGGUCUCUAGAACAUUCCUUCCUGAGGUGAAGGCUGAAGGUCUCACGGCAAGAGGUGGACGCGCCAUCAAAAGUGUUGCAGUCACGGACAAUGAAACGCAUCUCAACAAAGACAAGAGAGGCUUCAGAAGGACGCUGGAUGAAGGUGGUACGAAGCCAAUUGUUCUGUGCGGUAUUAGUGGCCACAUUACACACACUAUAGGUGUAAAAGAGGGAGCUAUUCACUACUGCCUGGACAAUUUCCCACUGAGAUACAAAAAGAAGGCAGAAGGCAAAUGGAAACAUUUGAAAUUAAUACACAG